rnacentral:lncRNA from 1 species
GGAGAUGUACCGAAAUAUAAAAGGAUUACAUUCAAUUGUAGACCCGCACGCAAUAAAUAAGAUGUCUACACACCUGUUGAAGAUAUGUUCUUCACCAAUCUGUUCUCUGGGAGGAGAAACGGUUCCACUCGAGGCAGAGGAUGAGGCUGUGGAUGAGGUCCGUGUUAAUGACAUCUUAACUGAUCAGGCCUGCAACAAGAGCGAGUGGUGAAAUUGCCGGCGACCGGAUGUGCAGCCAAGGGCUAAGGUUAGGGGGCAGUUCUUUUCACCUCACGAUCAGCUGUCCAGUUCUUUUCUGUGAUUCUAGCAUGUGAUUGUUGUAUGAGUUGUGUGCUGAAAUGUCUGUAACGCCCCUAGAUUGAACUGAGUGCUGAAUUGCUAAUACUUGGUUAUUUCUGACAGUUUCAUGUCUAAUAUGAACAUGAAAGCUACUUGCAAAUUUAAUGUGAAUUUAGUAAGCAAAUUUGUUUGUCCUACAUCCGACAAAGUGGUGUUUCCAGGGGCGCGGUUAUUUGCUCGCACCAACUACGCACACAUCCAUAUAAAUGGAAUGAGCUGCACUAUCCCAAAUGGCUUUAGGAUGCUUCAGUUUCUCCAUCAACAUCCAUAUGUGAACGUUUUAAUGUAUAGAUUUUUUUUCAUUGCUAAACACAGUUGAAAAAGAGUUUGUAUUUUUUCCUUGCUAAACAGAAUGUGUAUUUUUUUUCAUUGCUAAACAAAUUGCAUAUGUGUGUACUAUCGCGAGCAGCAGCAGCCAAGCAACAGCGGCAGCAAAGCAGAGCACCAGCGAAGCAGAGCAGCAGCGGCCAGAUGGGGUGUCCGUAGCCAUGCUAGAGAGGUAGGGGAGGAGAGAAGCUCACCAACAGAGGCAGGGGUGGCCGGAGCUCUUGAUGAUGGCAGCUGACUGGACAAGGCGGCCGAGCACGCAGGUGUUGGCCGACGGGACGGGGCGUGGGGGGUGGCGGGGAAGGGGACGGGGCGGAUGGCCGCGCAGUUCUCCGGGAUGGCGGCGGACGGUCAGGGUCGCCGGAUCUGACGCCGCCGCGGCGGGGUUGGAGGCUGGCGGCGCUGAGCCCUAGCUCACUACGAGACGAGCGAGCGGUGGGGAACGAGACAAGCGAGCGAGGGCUCUCGUGGUAUGCAUCGGUCGU